GAGCAGGUGGCCGAGUGGUCUAAGGCGCUGCGCCCAAGUCGCAGUCUCUUUGGGGGCGUGGGUUCGAACCCCACCCUGCUCA
rnacentral:tRNA from 1 species